rnacentral:rRNA from 1 species
UACGUAGGCAGCGAGCGUUGUUCGGAAUUACUGGGCGUAAAGAGUGUGUAGGCGGUGCUCCAAGUUCGGUGUGAAAUCUCCCGGCUUAACUGGGAGGGUGCGCCGGAAACUGGAGUGCUCGAGCGUGGGAGAGGAAAGCGGAAUUCCUGGUGUAGCGGUGAAAUGCGUAGAUAUCAGGAGGAGCACCGGUGGUGUAGACGGCUCUCUGGACCGUAACUGACGCUGAGGCACGAAAGCGUGGGUAGCAAACAGG